rnacentral:rRNA from 1 species
GACGAACGCUGGCGGCGUGCCUAAUACAUGCAAGUUGAGCGAUGAAGAUUGGUGCUUGCACCAAUUUGAAGAGCAGCGAACGGGUGAGUAACGCGUGGGGAAUCUGCCUUUGAGCGGGGGACAACAUUUGGAAACGAAUGCUAAUACCGCAUAACAACUUUAAACAUAAGUUUUAAGUUUGAAAGAUGCAAUUGCAUCACUCAAAGAUGAUCCCGCGUUGUAUUAGCUAGUUGGUGAGGUAAAGGCUCACCAAGGCGAUGAUACAUAGCCGACCUGAGAGGGUGUUCGGCCACCUUGGGACUGGGACGCGGCCCAAACUCCUACGGGAGGCAGCAGUAGGGAAUCUUCGGCAAUGGACGAAAGUCUGACCGAGCGACGCCGCGUGAGUGAAGAAGGUUUUCGGGUCGUAAAACUCUGUUGGUAGAGAAGAACGUUGGUGAGAGUGGAAAGCUCAUCAAGUGACGGUAACUACCCAGAAAGGGACGGCUAACUACGUG